GGGCGGGCUCUGUGCGACGGAGCGCCGUGAACCAUGUCAGGCGGGGAACCGAGCAGCAUUAAGCGGAAGAGCCCGUGCGAUGCAGGUGGUCCGUUCGUC
rnacentral:SRP_RNA from 2 species